rnacentral:rRNA from 2 species
CCCACCCACGGACCAAGGAGUCUAACACGUGCGCGAGUCGCAGGGUAGUACGAAACCCGAAGGCGCAACGAAAGUGAACCUUUUCUUACGAAUCGGUAGGUGGGAUCCCGGACCGAAUCCCGCUCGCGGGAAGAAUGGGCGCACCACCGGCCUGUCUCGGCCGCGACGUCGGCGAGGCGGAGCAAGAGCGUACGCGUUGGGACCCGAAAGAUGGUGAACUAUGCCUGAGCAGGAUGAAGCCAGAAGAAAUUCUGGUGGAGGUCCGCAGCGAUUCUGACGUGCAAAUCGAUCGUCAAACUUGGGUAUAGGGGCGAAAGACUAAUCGAACCAUCUAGUAGCUGGUUCCCGUCGAAGUUUCCCUCAGGAUAGCUGGCGCUCAUUGGAUAAGCAGUUUUAUCCGGUAAAGCGAAUGAUUAGAGGCCUUGGGGACGUACAGACCUCAACCUAUUCUCAAACUUUAAAUGGGUAAGACGUCCGUCUCGCUUGAUUGGAGUCGGGCUGUUCGAAUGCGAGUGCCAAGUGGGCCAUUUUUGGUAAGCA